UACGGCCGCAUCACGUUGAAACACCGGUUCUCGUCCAAUCAACGAAGUUAAACAACAUUGAGACUGGUCAGUGCUUAGAUGGGUGAUCUCUGGGGAAUACCAGGUGCUGUAAG